rnacentral:rRNA from 1 species
CGCAUCUGUGCAUGCAGCAUAUCAAUAAGCGGAGGAAAAGAAACUAACAAGGAUUCCCUAGUAACGGCGAGUGAAGCGGGAAGAGCUCAAAUUUGAAAUCUUAAAGGUUUUCCCUUGACGAAUUGUAGUUUAAAGAAGUGUUUUCUGUUGAAGUUUUGGUAAAAGUUCUUUGGAAUAGGACAUCAUAGAGGGUGAGAAUCCCGUAUUUGACCAUUACUCUCAGCUGUGUGAUACACUUUCAAAGAGUCGGAUUGUUUGGGAAUGCAGUCCAAAAUGGGUGGUAAAUUUCAUCUAAAGCUAAAUAUUGGCGAGAGACCGAUAGCGAACAAGUACCGUGAGGGAAAGAUGAAAAGAACUUUGAAAAGAGAGUUAAACAGUACGUGAAAUUGUCAAAAGGGAAGCGUUUGACACCAGUGUUGUUUUCUCGAAAAUCAAUUAAAAAGAGUUUGAUUUUGUUGUGUAUUGACCUUAACAGCUUGCAUUUCAAUUUUCUUGCUUUUUUUAAUGCACUUUUCGUUUAACAAGUCAACAUCAGUUUCUUUUGUUGUAAAAAGGUCAUUGGAAGGUGGCUUUCUUUUCGGAGAAAGUGUUUAUAGCCUUUGACUCCUGCAAUCGGAGAGACUGAGGUCUGCAGCGUAGAUCCCUCGGGGUUAGAUACAUUUGUGCUAAGUUAUAGCUCUUUAUAGACAACUUGUUGACUAUGAUUAGUCUUGUAGCUUACUCGCUUAUGCUAUUUUACCUACGCUUAGGAUGUUGAUCUCUCACAGUCGAGC